AUACGGAGGGUGCAAGCGUUAUUCGGAAUCACUGGGCGUAAAGGACGCGUAGGCGGGUUGGCAAGUCAGAUGUGGAAUCCUACAGCUUAACUGUAGAACUGCAUUUGAAACUGCUAACCUAGAGUAUGGGAGGGGGAGAUGGGAUUAGUGGUGUAGGGGUAAAAUCCGUAGAUAUCACUAGGAAUACCGAAAGCGAAGGCGAUCUCCUGGAACAUAACUGACGCUAAGGCGUGAAAGCGUGGGGAGCAAACAGGAUUAGAUACCCUAGUAGUCC
rnacentral:rRNA from 1 species